ACAACCUAAUGUUUGUGGAAGCUCAAACAUUUGCCUACCACUAUUGGAGAAGUAAUGGUGGCCUUUGAUUUCCUUCUACCUUCUGAAAGCCUAUCAGGAUGCUGAAUUGGUGGACUUUAAACUGGAAUACUGCUGACAAGAGAUCUGGGAAAUGUUUCCCCAGAUUUCCAACUCCUAUGGUACAGGAGAGAGCAUAGGAGUUGGAAUAGCUUUGAGGACCACAGGCAGGAGCCCUCUUCACUGCCCGAGCCCACAGCAUCUGCGAAAUCCUCCCUCUCUGACUUGACACAUGGUCCUAAGGGCUUGUUGGCCAGAGUCCGAAGCAGCUGCCAGAUUGCUUCGACUCAGACACCACCAAUCUGGGCCUCAUCUUGUCUGCUGGAUUCCGUUGUUGCUCGCCUAUCUGCAAAGCGAGGAACUUUCAAGAAGGUCAGAGAAUUCCCUGACGGCACCUUUUGGAUUUCUUGCUCCUCUCUUGCUAAAAUUGAUUGCAUAAGCCUGGAUUUUUACAUUAUAAUUCUGUCCCUGCC